rnacentral:rRNA from 1 species
GACGAACGCUGGCGGCGUGCUUAACACAUGCAAGUCGAACGAAGAGCGAUGGAAGCUUGCUUCUAUCAAUCUUAGUGGCGAACGGGUGAGUAACGCGUAAUCAACCUGCCCUUCAGAGGGGGACAACAGUUGGAAACGACUGCUAAUACCGCAUACGAUCUAAUCUCGGCAUCGAGGAUAGAUGAAAGGUGGCCUCUACAUGUAAGCUAUCACUGAAGGAGGGGAUUGCGUCUGAUUAGCUAGUUGGAGGGGUAACGGCCCACCAAGGCGAUGAUCAGUAGCCGGUCUGAGAGGAUGAACGGCCACAGUGGGACUGAGACACGGCCCAGACUCCUACGGGAGGCAGCAGUGGGGAAUCGUCCGCAAUGGACGAAAGUCUGACGGAGCAACGCCGCGUGAGCGAUGACGGCCUUCGGGUUGUAAAGCUCUGUUAAUCGGGACGAAAGGCCUUCUUGCGAAUAGUGAGAAGGAUUGACGGUACCGGAAUAGAAAGCCACGGCUAACUACGUG